AUUGAACGCUGGCGGCAGGCCUAACACAUGCAAGUCGAACGAGUGGCGGACGGGUGAGUAAUGUCUGGGAAACUGCCCGAUGGAGGGGGAUAACUACUGGAAACGGUAGCUAAUACCGCAUACCAUCGGAUGUGCCCAGAUGGGAUUAGCUAGUAGGCGGGGGAACGGCUCACCUAGGCGACGAUCCCUAGCUGGUCUGAGAGGAUGACCAGCAACACGGGACCGGGGACACGGUCCAGACUCCUACGGGAGGAAGCAGUGGGGAAUAUUGCACAAUGAGGGCAAGCCUGAUGCAGCCAGGCCGCGUGUAUGAAGAAGGCCUUCGGGUUGUAAAGUACUUUCAGCGGGGCGGCGUUACCCGCAGAAGAAGCCCCGGCUAACUCCGUGCCAGCAGCCGCGGUAAUAC
rnacentral:rRNA from 1 species